rnacentral:lncRNA from 1 species
GGCUGAACUCCAGUACUUGCAUCCCCAUCUUGGCAUCAACGGCAGUGUUGGCCUGAAUUCAAACCCUCUUGUUAACUUUUCUGGUGUCAUUGGGACUAAGGCUUUUGCUUUUGGUGUUGAUGUUGCAUUUGACACUGCCUCUGGUGACUUCACCAAGUACAAUGCUGGACUGAGCCACACUAACCAAGAUCUUACUGCUUCGUUGAAUCUGUAAGUUGUUUCUUCCAGUGCUUUGCUGUAUUGUGUAAUUAUUUGAUUUCUGGUCUUAGCAUGUUGUUUACAUUCUACAAUUCCCAAUUGCCCUUAGCAAUCUUUCCUGUUAGCUUCUGAUUCCGAUUAUUUUAGUGCUGAAGUAGGGUCAAAGAGCUCUCGUUUUUGUCUGUGCAUCUUCUGCAUGAUGUAACACUAAUUUGGCCUAUAGAGUAUUCAUAAAUGUGGUACCUAUGGUGUUUAAUUAUCAAUUUCAGGAACAACAAGGCAAACACCCUGGCUGCUUCCUACUACCACCAGGUGCAGCGCACCACUGCUGUGGGAGCAGAGAUCGCUCACAGCUUCUCAAGCAACGAGAACACCAUCACCAUUGGGACGCAGCACGAGCUGGACCCCCUGACCACUGUGAAGGGGCGUUACAACAACUUCGGCGUCGCAAGUGCGCUCAUCCAGCACGCGUGGAGGCCCAAGUCUCUCAUCACCUUCUCCACCGAGGUUGACACCAAGGCCAUUGAGAAGAGCCCCAAGUUUGGGCUGGCCCUGUCACUCAAGCCCUGAUUUGGGAUUCGCGGGUGCGUUAGGAUGCUAGCAUUUCGGUACCAUCAGCUCUUGGUCCAGCGAACAAAGCUUUGGACAGACGGAACUUGUAAUGCCCAACUUUGGUGAUGCGACAAACUUAUCUGUCGUUUUUUAGCCUGUUCUACCUGAGGGGGUUUUCUACCCUGUUGAUCUGUGCUACUGGUCGUUAUGCACGGGCGUAUUGCGAAUUUGCGAUGUCGUGAAAUCUGAAUGCCACUUGGAUGUGCUAUGUGUUUGUGUUUGCUUUGUUAUGCAAAAUGCUUCCCAGAAAAAUCACAUAGCAAGUAAACAAUCAGACAUUGCCAGAUGCAAUCAACCAUCGA